AUUGAACGCUGGCGGCAGGCCUAACACAUGCAAGUCGAGCGGAGCUGCCGACGGGCGAGUAAUGCCUAGGUAUCUGCCUGGUAGUGGGGGAUAACGUCCGGAAACGGGCGCUGAUACCGCACACUAUCAGAUGAGCCUAGGCCGGAUUAGCUAGUUGGUGAGGUAAAGGCCUACCAAGGCGACGAUCCGUAACUGGUCUGAGAGGAUGACCAGUCACACUGGAACUGAGACACGGUCCAGACUCCUACGGGAGGCAGCAGUCGGGAAUAUUGGACAAUGGGCGAAAGCCUGAUGCAGCCAUGCCGCGUGUGUGAAGAAGGUCUUCGGAUUGUAAAGCACUUUAAGUUGGGAGGCGUUACCAACAGAGUAAGCACCGGCUAACUUCGUGCCAGCAGCCGCGGUAAUAC
rnacentral:rRNA from 1 species